rnacentral:rRNA from 1 species
GACGAACGCUGGCGGCGUGCCUAACACAUGCAAGUCGAACGGACAGGCCCUGCUCUUGUGCCGCGCACGAUUGGCGAACGGGUGAGUAUCACGCGUGUAACCCGCCCUUGUCUUUCGGAUAUAUUCAGGAAACUGGGGCUCAUACCGGAUAGGAGCUACUGCUCCAUGGUGGGGGUUGGAAAGUUUCGGCGGUUGGGGAUGGACUCGCUGCUUCUCAGCUUGAUUGUGGGGUAGUGGCUUACCAAGGUUUCGACGGGUAGCCGGCCUGAGAGGGUGACCGGCCACAUUGGGACUAAGAGACGGACCAGACUCCUACGGGAGGCAGCAGUGGGGAAUAUUGCACAAUGGGCGGAAGCCUGAUGCAGCAGCGCCGCGUGCGGGAUAACGGCCUUCGGGUUGUAAACCGCUUUCGCCUGUAACGAAGCGUGAGUGACGGUAAUGGGUAAGGAAGCACCGGCUAACUACGUG